GGCGGGAGAAGCACGGCGAGGCAGUGGAAGAGCUGAGCGAGAAGCAGCUGCGGGAGCACCCCGCGGAUUCCUGAGAACCAGCUUGGGGGAGCGAGGGCUGGGGAGGUGCAGGCUCGUGUCAUGAGAAAGUGCUGUAGGAGGGCCUGGUGCAUAGCUCAGCUGCCCGGUGGAGCUGAGGGAAAGCCUGGAGGUUCCGGAGGAGGAGCAGGGCGGGGCUGUGCAAAGCGCUGUGGGAGAUGGGGCGGGGCUGCGGGAAUGAGCUGGGGAAGGAGGAGCCAAGCCAGAGCAAGGCUGGUGUGUGAGCACGGUUGGGGAGGAGCUAGUGCAGAGCUGGAGGAAAGCUGAAAGAUGCUGGGGUGGGCAGACGGGUAGGAGAAGCAGGAAGGGGCCAGAGGAGUUGGAGCUGGGAGUGGACAUGCAUGGGGAGGAGGAUGGGGCUGUGGGAAAAAGCUGGGAGAAAGAAGCUGAGGGUGGAGCUGCAGCGGGAACUGUGUCAGAGAUGCUGGAGGAGCCACCUGCAAGAGGAGGACGUAGCUGUGGGCAGAACUGGUUAGUGCUGGGAGGAGGAGGAGGAGUUGGGGGCGAAGCUGCGGGAGAAGGAGCUAGGAGUCGGAACAGCUAGGGUGGAGCUGCGGGAGAAGCAGCUUGGGCGGAGUUGCGGGAGGAAGAGCUGAUGGUGGAGAUGCUGGUGGAGCGGAGCAGAACUGGGGUGAAGCUGUGGGCAGAGCUGUGGGAGAAGGCAGGCUGUGCAGCUUGAGGAGCAGGAUGGAGCUGGAGGAGGGAGCUGAGGCACUUCUGUGCUGCACCCUUAGGCAAGAUUCUAAACUUGCCCCGGCGACCUAACUGCACCCUCAGAGUCUACCUCCAUAGGGCAUGGAAGCAGCAAGAAGGGCGGGAACACUUGUCUGGGGUCCCCGCAGCUGUAGGCUGAGUCUUGCAGGGCUGAGCGCCCCCCAGGCCUGCUUCCCUGUGUCCUAGCGGCUCUGUCAGUGCCUGCCAAAAUGGGGUCUGGAGGGACUGUCUUUUUAACGCCUCUUUUGCAGGUGUUGAGAAACAUCCCCACUCUUAAUGUCCUGCCGCCCCUCCGACCUAAGUCGCCCAACACACAGCCCAACUUCCCUGGCGAACUUGCUUUUCAAACUCUCUUCUCCAUCUCAGUCAGGGCUCAGUCAGGCCGCAGCGCCGCCAUGCUGCGCUCCUCUGUCCCUCCGCUUACCCAGUCCCCCACAUUGACUUCAUAACCAAGUUCCAGUGAGAUGCACCUACUUCUCCUUGGAGAAACUUGAGGAAGCAGGAAUGCUGGAGAUGAGGUGAGGAGGAGAGGGCCCCUCUUGAUGGGAUAUAAGCCUCAGGCCGGCAAGGGACCUUCAGAUCAUCAGUUCCAAUUCCCAUACAUGCUAGCAUCCCCUCCUGGGCUCCUUCCCCCAAGAAUGGUUGCCGGCUUCUGCCAGACACUCCGGAACCUGCUGGGAGUGGUUUCACACCGUGAGUGAGGAUCCCCGGGAUGGUGGGCUGCUGCUCUUCCUCCCGUGGCCUCUUGUUUGAAGAGCUAGAACUCACCUAAUGAGCUGGGUACUCACAUGUGACUGCUAGCGGGGAAGCCCAUGGUGGCUACAUAAGGGCUCCGUUUUCAAACUCUCCCAGCUGCCCCACUCUCCUGGGUGUGCUGGGCAGUGGGGUUAGUGCGCACAUUAGUGCACAUUCUCCCUGGGUGGCAGCAAACAGCAGAGGUCUGAUCUGUGGUCAGAUGAGGAGAAGUCAAAGAAAAGCAGCUGCAGCGUUGAAUGGGCCUAGGAAGAAUGGCAUCGCCAGGUCAGGUAGGGAUGAGGGUGGUGGUCGGCUACCCCUGAGAAAGGGACCAGAUGGCACCUGAGUCUUGAUUUUCAUUCCCAAUAGCAAGUCAGCACCAAACCCGAAAACGCUCUGAUUUCUGACCUCACUCCUCCCAUUUACGAUGUCCUGGCAGGAACAAGACUUUCCCCUCCCUCUCUGUUCCUCUGUCAGCAGGUCAGGCCAGCCUUCACCUCCCCAGACCCGUCCUACUCCUGCCUUCCCCUGUGGGGCCCUCGGUGGAUGCUCUGGAGCCCCAGGCAGGCAACUGCGGGCAUGUGGGGCCUUCUCGGGUUCCUUGCUGCGCUCCCAUGAAACCGCUGUGCCUGGCUGCACCCCACUAGCAAACACUCAGCUGACCCCAUCUCCUGGGGCCAGGAGUGUUUCUCCUCCUCAAGGUAUGCUUUCUUCUUCAGGCCUUGCUUGCAUCCCCAUCGUGCCACGUCAUGUCUCUUUUAGGAAGUCCUUGUGUUUUCCAAAGAUCUUGCUUUGCAGCUGAUGGCACCCCAUGCCAGCCCCCCACCCCAGGCUACUGCCUCCUUCCUGAAACCACAGCCCCCUCUCAGAGUCUUCCUUCCCUGUCAUCCCUGGGAGCCCCCUGCAGAGCUCCCUGUCCAUCUUGCUGGCCUUCUGAGCCUUGCCUCUGCCUUUCUUAUUCCUCUCCUCGCCUCACCCCGCCCCGCCUCUCCUCUCCACCGUUGUGGCAGGCUAGCUUCCCUGACUACGGCUGUCCCUUGGGAAUGUGCUGUCCCCUUCCCUCUCUGUGCUCAGCAUCCCUGGCUGUUCAGUCUGUCUCUUCCAUCCACGUGCUUCCCUAGGGAAGCAUUAUUUUUGUCUCAGCAUGAUUUCUGUGCGACUCUUCCCAUUUUCUGAGCCUGUCACCCCGUUCCUCUUCCCUUGCCUCCCUGCUGACACUUUCCAGAGGGCAGCCACCCUCUCCUCACUGUGCUGCUUUGACUCUGAGGCCCAGGAGGAAGUCACCCUCCUCCCAAGAGGGUUCGUGUGUGAUCCUGCCUAGGGUUACAGGGCACGGCCAGCCUGGGACCGCUUUGACCCUAAUUCCCGGCUUCCCUUCAGAUGCUUCUUGGUCAGCCUGCUUUCCUCAUCUAGGAAAUGGCUUUUACCCACUUUUUAAUUGAGUGAUUUGCCUUGUUGGUAUGGAGCUGUAGGAGCUCUUUCUGCAUGCUGCUGUAGGGUUGUGGAGGCCCCACAGGGUCGUGGGGUGUCCCUUAUGCUGUGUUGAGGUGCAGGAUCAGAGAAGUAAAGAGACAGGACACUGAAGAACUGGUGAAGAGCAUCUGGACUCGGGGGGCCAUGCCACUUGUGAGCAGAGGUCAGUGACGGCCCCCAAAUGCCCAAGAGCAUCUGUAUUUAUUAAAGACCUGGUCGGCUCAGAGGCUUGUUCCUCUGUCUCUUUGCAGGGCUAUUUUGGACUCAGUAUUCACCUAAGCCCUCCAAAUUAUCCAGCAAGCUCACGUUGCUCAGCCGUUGAACCCCUUCCUUCACCGUCUGCACUGACAGUCCGGGCCUUUCACCAUCACUCAGGCAUGGACCAUCGCUGUUGCCCAUCCCAUGCCAUCCACAGGACUGGCACAUCCUGCCCGUGCAGCUCUGUGCUGCAGCUUCCCUCUGGUCACGGGUCUGGCCGUCGGCUCACCGAUUCCUCCAGCUUCCACGGGACUCUCUGGGUGUUAGCACUGCAAGUUCCUCAGCAAACUGGGACUGUCGGUCACCUACCUGGCAGCCAGUGAUAAGCACUUGGCAUCAGGGGUAUGUUGGCAGUAGAGGAAAAUCAAGAUUCACAAGGUACAGCACCAGAAGGUAGUCUGUGGAAAAAUCUUCCAGUCAUCAAUCAGAUGUGUAAAAUUAGUCCUGAACUCUCCCAUCCCUACCUCAGAAGAGACUCCUCUGUUCACAGAAGCUAAAGCCAGUUCCUUCCCAAUGGCAGCUAUGUUUGGAUGUUGGAUCUACACUUUCUCAAGCACUGUGAUCUUCAAAUG